rnacentral:rRNA from 1 species
AUUGAACGCUGGCGGCAGGCUUAACACAUGCAAGUCGAGCGGGGGAAGGUAGCUUGCUACCGGACCUAGCGGCGGACGGGUGAGUAAUGCUUAGGAAUCUGCCUAUUAGUGGGGGACAACAUCUCGAAAGGGAUGCUAAUACCGCAUACGUCCUACGGGAGAAAGCAGGGGAUCUUCGGACCUUGCGCUAAUAGAUGAGCCUAAGUCGGAUUAGCUAGUUGGUGGGGUAAAGGCCUACCAAGGCGACGAUCUGUAGCGGGUCUGAGAGGAUGAUCCGCCAAGCUGUGACUGGGACGCGGGCCAGACUCCUACUGGAAGCAGCAGUGGGGAAUAUUGGACAAUGGGGGGAAACCUGAUCCAGCCAUGCCGCGUGUGUGAAGAAGGCCUUAUGGUUGUAAAGCACUUUAAGCAAGGAGGAGGCUACUCUAGUUAAUACCUAGGGAUAGUGGACGUUACUCGCAGAAUAAGCACCGGCUAACUCUGUGCCAGCCGCCGCGGUAA